rnacentral:rRNA from 1 species
AUUGAACGCUGGCGGCAGGCCUAACACAUGCAAGUCGAGCGCGCGGCGGACGGGUGAGUAAUGUCUGGGAAACUGCCUGAUGGAGGGGGAUAACUACUGGAAACGGUAGCUAAUACCGCAUACCAUCAGAUGUGCCCAGAUGGGAUUAGCUAGUAGGUGGGGUAACGGCUCACCUGGGCGACGAUCCCUAGCUGGUCUGAGAGGAUGACCAGCCAAACUGGAACUGAGAAACGGUCAGGACUCCUAGGGGAGGAAGCAGUGGGGAAUAUUGCACAAGGGGCGAAAGCCGGAUGCAGCCAUGCGGCGUGUGUGAAGAAGGCCUUCGGGUUGUAAAGCACUUUCAGCGGGGAGGCGUUACCCGCAGAAGAAGCACCGGCUAACUCCGUGCCAGCAGCCGCGGUAAUUC